UACACGUAACAUUUUGGGAUUUACUCAAAACAAAAAGAAAUCAAUUCUCAAUCACGUGCUCAAUCAAAACGUACCUGCAUAUGAACCCCAUGCUCUUCCCCAAUUGAAACUGAAAUACACACUCUCACUGCAGUUCAAAUCGGCGUUCACUUGAUCCGGUCGAUCUCCGAACUCUUCAACCAGUCCGAUUUCCACAAGAAAACUCCCCAAUCUCCUUCUGCAACUACAACCCCUAGAUACCCACAAAGGUGCCCAACUUUUCCCUUCUUUCAGAGUAUCAAUUAUUUGUUCAAAUCUCUCAACUUUCCUUGUUAUAAUUCAAUUUCAAUUUGCUGCAUGUUGGAGCACAAAAAUUCGGGAGGAAGAUUACCCAACAAAAAUCUCCCUCCUUCGGUCCUUCCAUCUUCAAGAAGCCCUAGACGCAUCCAUCUUGCAAUCGAUUAUGGGAGAAGGGACCUGCAAAACAGAAAAACACUCCGACUCCCAAUUUGAUUAUUUGGUUCCAGCUGCCAUGAGAGGUGGUGAUAGUACCAAAAGAAUUUACUCUAGAAAAUCCCAGUCGACCUUGGGAGCAGUACCGGCCUCUGAGUUGAUGAAUAUUGAAAUUGAUGAUCUCCCGGAUGUUGUGUUGGUUGAAAUUCUUUGUCGGCUUCCAUGCUAUAAGUUUGUUUCAAAAUGCAAGUGCGUGUUCAAACGUUGGUGCAAUGUCAUGUCCGGUCCUUAUUUUCUUGGCCGCUUUCUAUGUCUCCAGAGUGAUCGUGAGCAAACACCAAUAAUUCGUACUCUGAUAACCAACAAAGGGGAGGAGUUCCUUACUAGAAUGUCAUCGUCCGCCAAGCCGCUAGCUCUGUUGUUUGAAAGACUCAUGAGUUCUCACCAUUUGGAACAAGAGCCGGUAGUGGUAGCUACGUAUAAUGACUUGGUUUUGUGCUGUACAACCUGGGGCUAUUAUCAACGUGAUUACUACAUCUGCAAUCCGUGCACAGUUCAGUGGGUUCCUGUUCCUCCCCCUCCUCGAGUUUACCGGUAUACACCAGUGGGAUUCAUGUGUGAUCUUCCCUACUAUAACUGUACGAAAGAUGAUCAGGGAGGAAGUUUCAUUCAGGUCAAUGCUGAGUAUAUGUGCACGAUAGUGAGAUUAAUUCUUCGUAAGAGAUCUGUCUGCAAACUCAAAGUGCAAAUCUUCUCCUCUGAUACCGGUGAAUGGAAAACAUCAACUAUAUCAAUUCCAUCAGGCUUUGUUUCAGACACCGUCCCUCUAGAGAGGAGCUUCAGUUACAAUGGCAUGCCGUAUUUUGUGGGUGAUGAACCUGGUGAUCAAAAUUUUCUUAUGGGGUUGGAUCCAUUCAUGAUCAACAAUAGUAACAGUGCUCUUAGUUUAUCUAGUACUAGCCGUAAUAGUACUAAUGAUGAUGAUAUCAUUGAUCACUAUAAAUGUCGUUUCAUUCGAUUUGAUGAUCCAAACUCUUUUCUACUUCGGUAUCUUGGUGAAUACAGAGGGUGUCUGCACAUGUGCGACUAUCAUGAUCAUACCUCUGCUCUUUUUGUUCGGGAGUUGAAAGAAGAAGAAAUGCAUGGAGGAGCUGGCAAAUUAUGUUUGGAAGGCAUGAUGAAGGAUUAUUCACUGGACAUAAAAAUGGUUCCGGGUUAUGAUAUUGUUGAUUUACAAUUUUUAGACCCCAAUAACGAGGAUAUUUAUAUAUAUACAUUGGCAAAGACAUUGUCAGGUACAACAUUCGAACAAGAGAUUGGUUAAAGCUUGUUGAAAACAUUCCCUAUGGGAAUUUCCAAUUGUGCUCCCUUGGUGGGCAACACCAGUUCCUAGACUACCGCCACACGGCCAACCUGCGGGAAUAAAUCUCUGAUCUCUGUAUGGAACUUGACGUUGUAGUGUGGAAUAUGGGUCAAAAAGGAUGUUGGAUGGAAGGCAAUGGGGUGAGAGUUGUGUAGUUCCAUGAGGAGGAUGUUGAAUCUGCUCGCUGCUGUGAGAAAGCUGAUGACACAGAAAGUGUACGUAGUUGUUUUACUUGUUUGCCGCUCAAGAAAAGCUUGGUUUCCUAGUAAGUGCAGCAGAAGAACUUAGCUUGAGAAACAAGGGGGGAAGCAGACUAGUCAACAAAGCUACAUGGUCGUACUAGAAAGGCCAAAUAACGUGUGCUGAAAUCCUUG